AACGAACGCUGGCGGCAUGCCUAACACAUGCAAGUCGAACGAGACCUUCGGGUCUAGUGGCGAACGGGUGCGUAACGCGUGGGAACCUGCCCUUAGGUUCGGAAUAACUCCCCGAAAGGGGUGCUAAUACCGGAUAAUGUCUUCGGACCAAAGAUUUAUCGCCUUUGGAUGGGCCCGCGUUGGAUUAGCUAGUUGGUAGGGUAAAAGCCUACCAAGGCGACGAUCCAUAGCUGGUCGGAGAGGAUGAUCAGCCACACUGGGACUGAGACACGGCCCAGACUCCUACGGGAGGCAGCAGUGGGGAAUAUUGGACAAUGGGCGAAAGACUGAUACAGCAAUGCCGCGUGAGUGAUGAAGGCCUUAGGGUUGUAAAGCUCUUUUACCCGGGAUGAUAAUGACAGUACCGGGAGAAUAAGCUCCGGCUAACUCCGUG
rnacentral:rRNA from 1 species